GAUGGGCUAGAUUUUCUUAAAAAUUUUGUGGGCAGCAGUAUGUUAUGAAGACAGGUGUCUCAUUCAAGAAAAGCAACUAGUCAUUCAAAGUGAAAUGUAUGCUAAAUCCUAAGUUGAGCAUAAAUAUCAUUUGCUAUGAUUUGUAUUUCUAUGGAUUUGGAGUUAUUUUUGUUUUGAAUUUUUAAUUGCAGAUUCAACGUGAUUAAACAGGAUUGUAAGCGCUAUAUGCAGCAUUUUGCUGAGAUUUUUAUCUUUCAGUGAUCAUCCAAAGGAUACUGAGACUGAUGAGAAACCAAAGAUUUCUAUAUAAUUUUUACAUAUCAUUUUGGAGAUGGUAAAACGGCUAUUCAAGAUUAUAGCAUCCAUCUUGAGAGGAGACUCUUCCUUUCUGGAUUUGAGGAAGCAAACAGCCACACAGGGAAGUUGCACAUCUCAAAGAACUGAAUAGUUUGACCUCUGGCCAAACUAUUAGGUAUGUACAAUUAGAAUUGUUAUGGAUAUCUAAUAGGUUGAACUAUUUAUUAUGAAAUAUUUCUGUAUCUUUGAUAAUGCUUCCUGUCAUUAGACUUUACAUGUUCUCAUCAGAAGUGAAUAUUCAGAGAUUAUACUUAUAGGGAAAAUUUAGGUUGUCAGUAAUUUUUACUCGACAUUUAAUAUUUAAAUACAUUCUUUCCUAAAAAGCAGUAACUCUCCAAUAAAUUGUUGGGGUGGGGGGCGAAUAGGAUCA
rnacentral:lncRNA from 1 species